rnacentral:misc_RNA from 1 species
GGGAACUCGAAAGCUUCGUUUUAAACCAUGGAUAAAUAUGAACAAUUGUCAGAUGACGCCUAGAGAAAAUACAGUUGAUCAAAAACAAAGUUGCUUUCUCUAGAACUAAAUUUAGCAGGAUCUGUGUGUACAUGUGCUUGUGAAAAAGCGUUGUUUCUGUUUCCUCUUACUGAUAGUUUCUUGCAUUGGCUAUUAUAAGGUAUAUGUGCAACGCCUCUUGCCACUCUACAGAAGUUAAGCUGCACCAACACCAUGAUAAUAAGGUUGUUUCCCGCAGCUUGCAUUCACUCUACAACUUUAGAAGAAGGGUUGUCUAUGCUGCUUCGAGCUUGGACUUCUUUCUUCUUCGUUCUCUUUAAUUGUUUCAUUAGAUCAAGCCUUUCAGAAGAAAACGGAGAAGGAAUCAAACUUGGAACAUAUUUCUUGAUUGCCGCCAGCAUUGCUGCAUGACCCACUGCAGAAACAGGGAUUAGCAUUAAGAUGGUUAUGGGAACAAGGGUAGCUAUAUCACCCAGCGUUCUCUUCAUUUUCUUUCUCUCCCUUUUGG